ensembl:lncRNA
AGUCUGUCAGCUAUCUUGGAACGUGGCUUUGAAGACCAAGACCAUGCAUACUUCCAUACUGCAGAGAACACGUGUUUGACCAACCUAUGAACCACCACGAGAGAUGCUGGCACAGACACGUUGUCUUGGUAUGCUGUAUUUCUGGAUCUAAGAUCAAUCUGAGAGAACAGAUUCCCUGCUCAUGGGUAUGCACUGUAAGGUGAUCAUCAGUGCAACAGGAGGAAGCAGAAGGCUUUGUUACGUGCCAGAAAGAAUAAAGGGUGUGCUGUAAACAGUAUCUACGUGCUGAAUGCCACUGGGCCUUUAACAGACCACUGAGCAGUCAGCAGCUAUGGCCUGGAAUUGGCCUGAUUGGUUAGAGAGAAAGUCCUCAGCCGAACCAGUCUUUUGGAUAUCCAGCUGCAAUAAUUUAGGUAAAAUAUAAGAGCUCACAUCAUUAGUGUGUUUGUACACACAAGGAAGGCGAGUUACCUGCUGAUCAUUGUGGGACUGCACAUUGACUUUGAAACAUAAAAUCUCUGUACACUUGAGUUUCUCCAAAACAUAUUGUCCUCUACCACUGAAAGCAGAGUACUGGAGAUAACGUCAUCAGCAACAGGCAGCUGAUGGCUGGUGUGAGAAUCCCAGAAGGAAAUGACAGCAGGGGUUUGCCAGCUCAGGAUAUUUUUAUGUCAAGAGAAUGGAAAACGUCAAACCAUACCUGAAGCUGACAUGUUCUGCCCAGGGCUCUGUCAGUCUCUACACUGAAGAAACCAAUGGGAUCAUGAAACCGUUUUCCAGACUUGAGAGGAGCUCUGCAGGAUGGUGGCAGUGAGCACCACUUCUUCUGCCUUGGCAAUAGAGACACCCAUUCUGUCUGAAGAGCUCACCCCACACUUUGUGCAGUCAGAAGAAAGCUCUGCAAUAAUUUACUCUGUCUUUCUGUGCCUAGAGACCAUCAGAAGUUCUGGGCUCAGUUUCUAUGUAAACUACAGCUAUUUUUCUUUUUUUUUUUAUGAGAUCCUCCAGUUGGAAUUCAGACCUUCCCAGAACUUCUCAACUCGUACUGGUCUGUAUUUUGCCCUCCCUGUUUAUCUGCUUACCUGCUUUUAACCUCAUUCUUACCAUGCAUAUGUUGAAAUUUCAUCUGAGAGCAUGAAGAGUUUGUUUUGAAGUCUUGUUCCCCACAUGGGUACUUCCAGCUUACAGCCAAUUGACUCCCGAAAGCACCUCUUUGAGAAAUGUGUUCUGCAACACUUUGAGCUCCACCAGUCCCCUCUCUCCAGAAGAGAGCAGAAGAGUAAUAGAGUCUCCGGGGCAGUUCGGUGAGUGACAUCUGUAAUGAAACCAUCUCGGAGAAUAUGGAUGAAGAGCUGGACGGAUUCUCUCAUUUUUCAGAGACUACUCAACUACUUUCCAACAGUAAUAACUGAUGGUCACUCGCGGCCCAGUGUGGAACCAGAAAAAAAAACUAAAGAAAAAGUGGAGGAGUUCUUGACAGUUUUUGAAAGGUAAAAACACUGGCAAAGCACAGAGGUGGGACUGCAUGGAGAUGGGAUGGUUUUGCUGUUGGUCCCUCACCCUUCGAGGAAAUCCAGAAUGCUGGAGUCUGUGAAAAUCACAAAUCCAAAGAGCCCAGACAACCCACAGCUGUUUAUCAGUUGGGAAAGAUAUUAUACAUACUAUUCACUGGAACAGGUUGCCCAAGGAGGCUGUGGAUGCCCCAUCCCUGGAGGCAUUCAAGGCCAGGCUGGAUGUGGCUCUGGGCAGCCUGGUCUGCUGGUUGGUGACCCUGCACAUAGCAGGGGGGUUGAAACUCAAUGAUCAUUGUGGUCCUUUUCAACCCAGGCCAUUCUAUGGUUCUGUGAUUCUACCUGUAAGGUUUUACAGCUUUAAGUUCCUCCAGAAUGGAAACACUCUCCAGGGAGAGGUCCUGGUAGUGUGUAUGUGUAUGCACCCAUAGCACUACAUUUUGUAUUUGAACUUGUAACUACGAAAGAAGCUGUUGCACUGCAAUUAGUAUUUACAUGUGAGUUUCCCCUCUUUCUCUCCAUACACUCAGAUAUUUACAAACACAAUUAUUUACUAAAAGAAAAACCCACCACUGCCAUAGAUGUAGGAUACAAAAAGAAAAAAAAAGUAAUCUGGAUGUAAGAACAGCAUUUCCAUCAUUUUGUUUACAAACACAAAAUGAAUACAAAAUCUGUAACUCUAAGUAGGUUUAAGGGAAGAUUACUGCAUGCUCAUAAUUAAAAAAAAAAUGGGAAAAGCCUUUUUUUCCUAGAUUAAAAAUAAAAUGAAAAAGACUACCAUAUAAUCCUGGCAGCAGAUCUUACAUCUACAUCCAAAGGAGGUGCGGGUUCAUGUAUUAAAGAAGAAUGCAAUGUCUUGAAGUGCAAACCAAAGCUGUGGCUGAGCCGUCCUGCAGGCUGCACUGUUGCAAUCAAUACUCCAAACAGACCUAUUUUUCUUGGACAAAAAUACAUACAUAUAUCUGACAUUUGAGGAAGCCAGGUGAAUAAAUCAAUAGCUAAACAAAAAUGCGCUUAAUCAUAUCUAUUGUGGACAGAUGCAGUUUGGAAAAAUCCCGUAUGGUUCCCGUAUUGCCUUCUGCUUAAAGGUUAGGAAUGAAACCGUGUUUCCUAAGUCACAGCCCUCUGUUACACAGCAUUACUGAAGGCAGAAUGAUGGCAGGAGCCACUAACAGUGUGCUAUUGCUGGGCAGGUCUUUCCCUGCACCUUCAGGAAUGUACUUUACUGGGGUAUGUAGGGAAGACUCACACAUUCUUUACAACCUUCAAUUGACUGAACUGCUACCCAGAGUUGGGCCAAGGGUGAGUUCAAUGUAUGAUGCAUUUUAUCUUUCCUUAAUGGCUUUAAGCGAUGACUGUUGAGAGCACAUUUCUCGUGCCAUUGCGGGUGAUCAUUAAACAUACAUAAUAGCCCCAUUAAACGAUUAUGG